rnacentral:rRNA from 1 species
GGUUAAGCGACUAAGCGUACACGGUGGAUGCCCUGGCAGUCAGAGGCGAUGAAGGACGUGCUAAUCUGCGAUAAGCGUCGGUGAGGUGAUAUGAACCGUUAUAACCGGCGAUUUCCGAAUGGGGAAACCCAGUGUGUUUCGACACACUAUCAUUAACUGAAUCCAUAGGUUAAUGAGGCGAACCGGGGGAACUGAAACAUCUAAGUACCCCGAGGAAAAGAAAUCAACCGAGAUUCCCCCAGUAGCGGCGAGCGAACGGGGAGGAGCCCAGAGCCUGAAUCAGUGUGUGUGUUAGUGGAAGCGUCUGGAAAGGCGCGCGAUACAGGGUGACAGCCCCGUACACAAAAAUGCACAUAUUGUGAGCUCGAUGAGUAGGGCGGGACACGUGGUAUCCUGUCUGAAUAUGGGGGGACCAUCCUCCAAGGCUAAAUACUCCUGACUGACCGAUAGUGAACCAGUACCGUGAGGGAAAGGCGAAAAGAACCCCGGCGAGGGGAGUGAAAAAGAACCUGAAACCGUGUACGUACAAGCAGUGGGAGCCUCUUAAUGGGGUGACUGCGUACCUUUUGUAUAAUGGGUCAGCGACUUAUAUUCUGUAGCAAGGUUAACCGAAUAGGGGAGCCGAAGGGAAACCGAGUCUUAACUGGGCGUUAAGUUGCAGGGUAUAGACCCGAAACCCGGUGAUCUAGCCAUGGGCAGGUUGAAGGUUGGGUAACACUAACUGGAGGACCGAACCGACUAAUGUUGAAAAAUUAGCGGAUGACUUGUGGCUGGGGGUGAAAGGCCAAUCAAACCGGGAGAUAGCUGGUUCUCCCCGAAAGCUAUUUAGGUAGCGCCUCGUGAAUUCAUCUCCGGGGGUAGAGCACUGUUUCGGCAAGGGGGUCAUCCCGACUUACCAACCCGAUGCAAACUGCGAAUACCGGAGAAUGUUAUCACGGGAGACACACGGCGGGUGCUAACGUCCGUCGUGAAGAGGGAAACAACCCAGACCGCCAGCUAAGGUCCCAAAGUCAUGGUUAAGUGGGAAACGAUGUGGGAAGGCCCAGACAGCCAGGAUGUUGGCUUAGAAGCAGCCAUCAUUUAAAGAAAGCGUAAUAGCUCACUGGUCGAGUCGGCCUGCGCGGAAGAUGUAACGGGGCUAAACCAUGCACCGAAGCUGCGGCAGCGACACUAUGUGUUGUUGGGUAGGGGAGCGUUCUGUAAGCCUGUGAAGGUGGCCUGUGAGGGUUGCUGGAGGUAUCAGAAGUGCGAAUGCUGACAUAAGUAACGAUAAAGCGGGUGAAAAGCCCGCUCGCCGGAAGACCAAGGGUUCCUGUCCAACGUUAAUCGGGGCAGGGUGAGUCGACCCCUAAGGCGAGGCCGAAAGGCGUAGUCGAUGGGAAACAGGUUAAUAUUCCUGUACUUGGUGUUACUGCGAAGGGGGGACGGAGAAGGCUAUGUUGGCCGGGCGACGGUUGUCCCGGUUUAAGCGUGUAGGCUGGUUUUCCAGGCAAAUCCGGAAAACCAAGGCUGAGGCGUGAUGACGAGGCACUACGGUGCUGAAGCGACAAAUGCCCUGCUUCCAGGAAAAGCCUCUAAGCAUCAGGUAACAUCAAAUCGUACCCCAAACCGACACAGGUGGUCAGGUAGAGAAUACCAAGGCGCUUGAGAGAACUCGGGUGAAGGAACUAGGCAAAAUGGUGCCGUAACUUCGGGAGAAGGCACGCUGAUAUGUAGGUGAAGCGACUUGCUCGUGGAGCUGAAAUCAGUCGAAGAUACCAGCUGGCUGCAACUGUUUAUUAAAAACACAGCACUGUGCAAACACGAAAGUGGACGUAUACGGUGUGACGCCUGCCCGGUGCCGGAAGGUUAAUUGAUGGGGUUAGCGGUAACGCGAAGCUCUUGAUCGAAGCCCCGGUAAACGGCGGCCGUAACUAUAACGGUCCUAAGGUAGCGAAAUUCCUUGUCGGGUAAGUUCCGACCUGCACGAAUGGCGUAAUGAUGGCCAGGCUGUCUCCACCCGAGACUCAGUGAAAUUGAACUCGCUGUGAAGAUGCAGUGUACCCGCGGCAAGACGGAAAGACCCCGUGAACCUUUACUAUAGCUUGACACUGAACAUUGAGCCUUGAUGUGUAGGAUAGGUGGGAGGCUUUGAAGUGUGGACGCCAGUCUGCAUGGAGCCGACCUUGAAAUACCACCCUUUAAUGUUUGAUGUUCUAACGUGGGCCCCUAAUC